rnacentral:misc_RNA from 1 species
UGGACUCCAGGCACCCGGACUUUAAGGGAGGUGACUUAGUUUAGGGAAGAACAGGAUGGGAAGAAUACAGUCUCAUUACAAGACCUGAUCCCCUCUUUAAAAUCUCAAACUCUGAUGUACCUCUUUCCUACUAUACUGGAAUUCUUGGUGAGUUGAUUGUUAUCAUUUUCUGCUUUCAUGUCUGUGCCAUAAAUGAGUACUAAUGGGCA